GCCUCAAAAACAAGCUCUGGUCAGGAAACAAGCUUGGUGCUAUGCACGCAGAAGAGUUUCAGAUUUUACAGAAUACCAUUCCUUAGAUUUAUUCAGCCUUCCCAAACGUCUGUCACUGAAUUGGACUGCAUCAAUUGUCAAAAAAGAUCCAAGCCCAGCUGAAAGAGCUUCAUUAUGGGAAAAAGGAUUUGAUUUUUAAGGCACAACAGCUAACAGAUCUGGAGCAAAAACUAUCUGUUGCAAAAGACAAAUUGGAAAACGCAGCCCUUGACAAAGAGUCCCAGCUGAAAGCUCUGAAGGAGACUGUGCAGCUUUGCCUGUGCUCCGUUCUGCGCAGUCAGCCUCCCGCAGCGAGUCUGAUCUCCUCCAAACCAGCUGAGAAGCUGCCUUCCUCCAAUGCAAAGGGCUCCCAAGCCCCAUCCCAAGGCACAAGCACCAAGGUAUGAUUUCACUCUUGGGUGGGGUUUUUUUUAACAUCUUUGAAAGUUUGUCUUGUAAGAGCAUCAAACUGAAACUAAGGAGGAUUUCAAAUCCGUUGGAAGAUUAUGACAAAUUUUGAGGAUAAUUCUAAGACUGUUUCCGUUGUCAAUAAAUAGUUUUUUUUUUAUCUGGGAAGCAGCUACAUUUUACUGAAUAACAAAAUUCUGUCACUUGGUAAAUGGAUUGAUAGUGUCUGCAGGACAAAUCUACAAUGCAGAUGGAUUUGCAUUUAAAAUAAAUGAGGGUGCUAAUUCGUAGGAUCAUUUACCUGUCAGGCACUGAAAGUGAAUUUGUGGUAAUACAGCACUAAACAGUUAUAUGAGGUUUGCAUAUCACGGUUUCUCUCAGUGGAAAAAAAAAUUAUAUAAAAAUCAUAAAAUCAUCUGGGACACCCAAAUCAAAAUUGCCAAAAUGGAUCGAUGAACUUGACAGUAGGGAAUAGGGAAUAUUCCAGUUUUGCAAGAUGCGAAGGACAGUUUCAGGGAAACCUGAGGAAAAAAAGAAAGAUAAAAACUGGUUUGAGUCAGGAAAUUCAAAUAUUGUAAUACAGUUAAGAUUCAUGUUGAUUAACAACUGUCCUAGUAAUUUUCAUUUCCCGUGUUGCAUUUUGCUCCUGAAUUCAACUGAUUGAAUAGAUAGAACUAGAAGAAAUCUAUAAUUUCAGUGAAAAGGAAGUUAUACAGAGAAAUGACUGAAGGACACUUCAAUGUCCUCUUUUCAUUACAAAACUGAAAUAAAAAUAGGAAUUGCUAACUCAUAGCCAAUUUGCAGUUUGUAUAUGGCAGUUGUUGGUAUUUACUGUUAGUGCACAGGCUGAAGCCAAAAAUUAGUAAUCUUUCUAUAUGUAAUUAAAAUACAAUUUCAGAAAGCAGGAUGCAAUUAUUAAACUGAAUAUCACAUCGCUACUCUUAAAAUUAUGAUUGUCAGUUUAUUAAUAACUGUUUUGCAGGAAAGACCAUGAUUCCCAAAAAUUGUUACCUCUGGGAAAAAAAAGUACUGUAUUUAUGAUUAGCAGCAGAUGGGUAUGAUAGUGCUCAUUUAGAUUAAGCUCCCUGGAUCCAUGUUCUGAAGGAUGGCAGACUUUCCUUUUGUAGGUUUGCAAGCUGAGCAGCUCUCUGAGAUCUCAGGAGCAUAUUGUUCCUAGUUAAUGUGGCUGUAGAAUUGUUUAGCUUGCUCUUAUUGUCCUUUUCUUCAGGUUGGAAGUGUUCAUGCCUCUGUCAUGAGAGGAGUACUGAAGGAUAAGGGCCAGCUAGACAGCAUGUCUCUGUUUAAGAUUGGUCCAGGGUCAGAGCCUUUGGAGAAUUUGGGGUCUCCUUCAUGUUACAUAGGGACAUGAGAAUACAGAUAGAGAUUAGAAUUAGGUUUUUGAUAUUUGACUGAAAUACAGAGUACUCUUCCUUCUUUUUUUUUUCAGUUAUCUGAAUACAGUCAAGGGAAAUGGAAAAAAGUACCUGGUAUCUCUUUUUCAGUCUGUAACACCCCCUCCCAGCACACACACACCACACAAAAUAUCUUUUUCCUUCAAGUUUUAGUGGCACAAUCUUUAUCUUCAGUUCAUUAACUAUUUGACAUUGUUCCUCUUUGUUGCAGAGUGUACGUAGCUGGAAUGGCCCAUUACCUCAGGGUUCAACUGGGCAUUGCUGGGCGGGAGUUGAAAUCACUGCGGGGUGGGAUAUUGAUGGUGGGGUGGGCUUAGAGACCCUGGGGCAUGAGCUGAAGUGCUGCAGAGCUGGAGCCGAAGCCAAGAUCACCCCUGUGAUGCUGGAGAAACGCAGAGCAGGAGCUGGAAGAAGAGAGCUGGCAGUGAAAUAAAGCUUG
rnacentral:lncRNA from 1 species